CCUGUGUAACCAUGGAACCUGGAGGUCAAGGAGAACAGGUCCACAGAGGCUCAACUUCCAGGUCAGGUCCUUCUGCUUUGGGGAACUGGAUGCAUCCCCAUGACCUUCCUAUCCCUAGAGCCGCUGGGGAGCUCAAGGCUGCUGCCCACAGUUUCUGUACUUCAGAGCGAGCAGAAAAGCUGCCUCUAGGUAUUUUGGAAUAAUGUAGACAGCUGAAGAGGUUCAUCUCCAAGAGAGAAUACAUAACCAUCAUGAGAUCAAGAAACUGAGUCACAAAGAAAGAUUUGAUGGCAGUCUGCCUGACUCCAAAUCCUGGGC